UGAAUUGGUCAAGUGAAGUGACGUGGGGGGUAUUUAACCACCUCGACCUGCAGACAGUGUCUUAAAGUACUACAGCCUCGGGAAGCAAAGCUGAACAACAUGAAGACAUUUGCGCUGGUUUUCGUUUUCCUGAUCUUGGCUGCAGUUUGCACAGAUGCCAAUCCCAUCAUGAAGGAGAGCGUUGCUAAGCAGCUCUUCCGCAGCAAGAGGAUGGAUAAUACCUACGAGUGGAUGGAUUUGGUCCUGAGGUCCUGGGAGCCCACCGGUCCGGUGAUGGUCUAGCGCCGAGCUGGUGGUCAGUCACCUGUACGCCGGAACGCCACUAACCCGGCCUAUAUCAAGUGAUUCACUAUAGAGUGAUAUCAUCUAAACAUUAAACGCAUAGGCCUUGACCUUCAUAUUCUAGGUGUGUGAUCUCUUAAACUGUCUAUUUGACUCAUGCAUCACAUUGGAAAUUGUGUAUGAAUUUAAUUAAAAAAUAAAUGCAAACAUGACUAUA